CCACGACAGCACGCGACGUCCAGCUGCCGCAGCACAGAGACGGCACGUGACGGCACGGCGAGACAGCACGACGUGCCGUCUCUGUGCCGUCUCUGUGCCAGCAGAAAACGCUACCGGCGGGGAGCGAUUUUAUCGCAUAUAAAAAUAACGCUAAAUAAAAAUUAGUUAGAACGCAUAACUAAGCAUCUACAUCAUAAAUAAUUAAUAAAUUUUGUUAUAUAGUAUAAAAAAAAUUUUAUGUAAGAAAAAAAAAUCUGCCGGGUGUAGGGCUGGAACUCACGAUCUUUGGAUCAGAAGUCCGAAGCUCUAGCCUCUGAGCCACAACUCUUCUUACAAUUUGAUGCACAAUUGCACCUAAUAAUCAUCGCUAAUAAUUAGAAUUAUGUAAUAAAAUAAUGUUUAAAUGUAAUUCGGUUUGGAGAGAAUAAAAAAAGUAAUAAAUGUAUGCUCUUUACUAAUUAAAGUCCAUAAUUAUUAAUAAUGCAACAUUCUGAGCACGCGGCACGCGUGCUGUCGCUGUGCAGUCUCUGUGCCGUCGCGUACAGACGCCCUAGGUCGAGACAGCAACUGGACGGCACAGUGACAGCACGACGUGCGGCACGUCAAGAGCAUGCUCUGCAAAAAAACGCCCGCCAGAUGUCCCCGCUUGAUAGCACAGAGACGGCACACGGACAGCACGCCGUGCGGCACAACAAGUCUCGGUGGAGACAGCACGUGCUGUUAUCUGGGUUAGUGUAUAGCUGCAGACGUUAUACGAAGAUAUCGCGUCUGUAGCUGCGGAUGCUGAUGCUGCUGCUGAUGCUGAGACUUCUAGUGCGCGAAGGUUCCCCAGUUUAUUCCUAUCGACUGGAUUAUCAAUAUGAGGGAAGAGAGCCAAGAGGACGUUGAAACAGUAUGUACUCAACUCAGAAGGAUAUGUAAGAAAGCGACCAAUCAGUCAAGGCAAGAUUCCGGCAGUGGAUAAACGAUCAACCCAAUCUUUCAUAGUUCAGUGGAAAAUCGUUUGCAUAUGUCUGAUAUUGACUGUUUACUUAGGGAGCAAUAUGAUGUCGAACUAGACUUUCAUCAUAGUAUUGUAUUAGAUGGAGGAAUUAGAGAAGGAAUAACGCUAUGCGUGAUAGGAAAAAGUUAACUCGGCAGCAGCAAAAAGGCUUGAUGAAAUUUAUCCCACCCAAUAUGAAUCUUAACGAGCUUGGUCACACAGUGGCCUAUGGCUUGAUGCGCAAUAAUACUUCAUGGUUGCAUUUAAAUUUAACUAGUAUAUUCUGGUGGAUCAAAGGUGAUGCUCACAACGCUCUAGAAUGUGCCCGAAGAGAUGGCAUUCAAGAUGAAAGUUUAAACUCCAUUUUAACAAGUCAUGGACAAUCCUGUAUGCAAAGAAGUGGUAAUGAGUCAAUACUUUCCUGUGAUAUUAUGUCUGAGAGACAGAUGUUGGCGCAGAAAUUCCAAAUUGAUUUCGGUGUUAGUUUGCAAGUUUUGAAAACCGUUGAAAACCAGGCUAAAGAAAUCACAAGGGUUUGCAGAAAAUUUAGAUCAUUUUAGUAAAACUCCAGAUUAUACAAAAUUUUCCACUGUUUUUAUGGAACCAACUGGUAGACCAAAAUACCAUAAUUUAGAAAUAAAGGAAUCAUCAGAACCUUUUGAAAAACCAGAUUGGCCAUCUGAGUCUUAUUGUGAAAGUUUAAUGCCUUUUUUUCUUGACGUAAAGCAGUAUGUGCCAGUGUACUUGCCACCUGAAAAUAAUGGCUAUGUCCAUAAUAGAUAUUUUUCACUCAACGACCAGUCCAUCGAGUCCCAGAAAAGUCUGACUGCUCUGCAUACUCAUCGUGUAACUUCAUCAGCAGCAACCUUGGUGAGCAUCGCUUAGAGGG